UACGAAGGGGGCUAGCGUUGCUCGGAAUUACUGGGCGUAAAGGGAGCGUAGGCGGAUAGUUCAGUCAGAGGUGAAAGCCCAGGGCUCAACCUUGGAAUUGCCUUUGAUACUGGCUGUCUUGAGUAUGGGAGAGGUUAGCGGAACUCCGAGUGUAGAGGUGAAAUUCGUAGAUAUUCGGAAGAACACCAGUGGCGAAGGCGGCUAACUGGCCCAUUACUGACGCUGAGGUGCGAAAGCGUGGGGAGCAAACAGGG
rnacentral:rRNA from 1 species